GUGUAUAGUUCGUAGGCAAAGCCUACAGUUUCACGUACAUACAACCAUACGAGUUUUUUUGGUUCGAUGACUUUCGCCAUCACAGUGCACAGGGGUUGGUGUGGAUAUAGUGGUGGGCGCCAGAGACGCGGUAGCGUCCGUAUGGCUGGCCCAAAUCUUCACUAAUGAUCCUUCUGCAGGUUCACCUACAGAAA
rnacentral:misc_RNA from 1 species